rnacentral:rRNA from 1 species
AUGGAUUCAGCAGGCGCCUCGAAGCCCGAGGAGGAGGUGACCGCUUACCAGAGCAGCGAGGCCAAGCAGGCGAGGCUGCAGUCCAUGCUCGCGGCGCUCCUCGACGACCCCAUUCUGGUCGACGUCUCGAGGAAGCCCUCGCUGGCAGACGUGGACACGCUCAUCAACCUCGAGCUCGGCAGCGCCAUGAGGGUGACCGUCGUCAAGCUGGACAACACCUCAUUCAAUGUCGUGGUGUUGAACACUGCUACGCUCAAGGAUUUGAAGCUGGCUAUCAGGAAGUGA